rnacentral:rRNA from 1 species
GACGAACGCUGGCGGCGUGCCUAAUACAUGCAAGUCGAACGAGAGCACCCGGUGCUUGCACUGGUCAAUCUAGUGGCGAACGGGUGAGUAACACGUGGGUAACCUGCCCAUCAGAGGGGGAUAACAUCCGGAAACGGAUGCUAAAACCGCACAGGUCUUCGAACCGCAUGGUUUGAAGAGGAAAAGAGGCGCAAGCUUCUGCUGAUGGAUGGACCCGCGGUGCAUUAGCUAGUUGGUGAGGUAACGGCUCACCAAGGCCGUGAUGCAUAGCCGACCUGAGAGGGUGAUCGGCCACAUUGGGACUGAGACACGGCCCAAACUCCUACGGGAGGCAGCAGUAGGGAAUCUUCCGCAAUGGACGCAAGUCUGACGGAGCAACGCCGCGUGAGUGAAGAAGGUUUUCGGAUCGUAAAACUCUGUUGUUAGAGAAGAACAAGUGCUAGAGUAACUGUUAGCGCCUUGACGGUAUCUAACCAGAAAGCCACGGCUAACUACGUG